rnacentral:lncRNA from 1 species
GUAGAGUUGAUUCAAGCUGUGGAUCCUCUUCUUGCUCACUCUCAAUGCUGUGCUUGCUAUUCUUGCAGAUUGCCUUCACAAGGAAGAAGGAUUUUGGUAAAGAAGAACGUGAGCUUAAAUGGGCACAUGCACAGAGAACCCUCCACGGGUUACACGCACCUGAUACAAAGAUGUUCAGUGAACACAACAAGUUCACAGAACUUAACCAGAUGGCUGAAGAGGCAAAACGAAGAGCUGAGAUUGCAAGGUAAACCUAUAAAGAGAACAAGCACGAUACUUAAAUUUGUUGCAAUGCAGAGUUAUUCUAAUACAUGAUGCUUUCAUAUAUUUUGAAUCUUGCAGAUUGAGAGAACUGAAUACUCUGAAAGGGCAUGUUGAAUCAGUGGUUAGGCUGAAAGGUCUGGAUAUCGACACGAUUCAGCAAUCUUAUACCGU